rnacentral:rRNA from 1 species
GAUGAACGCUGGCGGCGUGCCUAAUACAUGCAAGUCGAGCGAACAGACGAGGAGCUUGCUUCUCUGACGUUAGCGGCGGACGGGUGAGUAACACGUGGAUAACCUACCUAUAAGACUGGGAUAACUUCGGGAAACCGGAGCUAAUACCGGAUAAUAUAUUGAACCGCAUGGUUCAAUAGUGAAAGACGGUUUUGCUGUCACUUAUAGAUGGAUCCGCGCCGCAUUAGCUAGUUGGUAAGGUAACGGCUUACCAAGGCAACGAUGCGUAGCCGACCUGAGAGGGUGAUCGGCCACACUGGAACUGAGACACGGUCCAGACUCCUACGGGAGGCAGCAGUAGGGAAUCUUCCGCAAUGGGCGAAAGCCUGACGGAGCAACGCCGUGUGAGUGAUGAAGGUCUUCGGAUCGUAAAACUCUGUUAUUAGGGAAGAACAAAUGUGUAAGUAACUAUGCACGUCUUGACGGUACCUAAUCAGAAAGCCACGGCUAACUACGUG